GACAAACGCUGGCGGCGUGCUUAACACAUGCAAGUCGAACGGAAAGGCCCUGCUUUUGUGGGGUGCUCGAGUGGCGAACGGGUGAGUAACACGUGAGUAACCUGCCCUUGACUUUGGGAUAACUUCAGGAAACUGGGGCUAAUACCGGAUAGGAGCUCCUGCUGCAUGGUGGGGGUUGGAAAGUUUCGGCGGUUGGGGAUGGACUCGCGGCUUAUCAGCUUGUUGGUGGGGUAGUGGCUUACCAAGGCUUUGACGGGUAGCCGGCCUGAGAGGGUGACCGGCCAAAUUGGGAAGGAGAUAAGGGCCAGAAUCCUAAGGGAGGCAGCAGUGGGGAAUAAUGGAAAAUGGGCGGAAGCCUGAUGCAGCAACGCCGGGGGCGGGAAGAAGGCCUUCGGGUUGUAAACCGCUUUCGCCUGUGACGAAGCGUGAGUGACGGUAAUGGGUAAAGAAGCACCGGCUAACUACGUG
rnacentral:rRNA from 1 species